ACGGGAGGCAGCAGUGAGGAAUAUUGGUCAAUGGCCGGAAGGCUGAACCAGCCAAGUAGCGUGCAGGAAGAAGGUUCUAUGGAUUGUAAACUGCUUUUGUCCGGGGGUAAAGUGCUCCACGCGUGGGGCAUUGCAAGUACCGGUCGAAUAAGCAUCGGCUAACUCCGUGCCAGCAGCCGCGGUAAUACGGAGGAUGCGAGCGUUAUCCGGAUUUAUUGGGUUUAAAGGGAGCGUAGACGGGAGCGUAAGUCAGUUGUGAAAAGUCGGGGCUCAACCCCGUCCUUGCAGUUGAAACUGCGUUCCUUGAGUGGAGUUGAGGGAGGCGGAAUUCAUGGUGUAGCGGUGAAAUGCAUAGAUAUCAUGAAGAACCCCGAUUGCGUAGGCAGCUUCCCAAUCUCCGACUGACGUUGAUGCUCGAAGGUGCGGGUAUCAAACAGGAUUAGAUACCCUGGUA
rnacentral:rRNA from 1 species